rnacentral:tRNA from 1 species
GGAACAGUAAGUGGAGCGGUAUACCUGCCUGUCACGCAGGGGGUCGCGGGUUCGAGUCCCGUCCGUUCCGCCA